rnacentral:lncRNA from 1 species
UGCAGGGCUUCGAUCAGGAGCUGAAUGUGGACUGGCGAGAUGAGCCAGAGAGCGUGUUUGACAUCCUGGAUGGGGAGGAGAUGCGGCGAGCGCGCACCAGAGCCAAUCCCUAUGAGAUGAUCCGAGGUGUCUUCUUCCUUAACAGGGCAGCAAUGAAGAUGGCUAACAUGGAUUUUGUGUUUGAUCGUAUGUUCACAAAUCCUCUGGACUCUUCUGGGAAGCCGCUGCUGAAGGAGUCGGACAUUGACCUUCUGUACUUUGCUGAUGUGUGUGCAGGCCCAGGUGGCUUCUCUGAGUAUGUGCUGUGGAGGAGGAAGUGGCACGCAAAAGGCUUUGGGAUGACGCUGAAGGGCCCCAAUGACUUCAAGCUGGAGGACUUCUACUCCGCCUCCAGUGAGCUCUUCGAGCCCUACUAUGGU